rnacentral:rRNA from 1 species
GAUGAACGCUGGCGGCGUGCCUAAUACAUGCCAGUCGAGCGAACGGACGAGAAGCUUGCUUCUCUGAUGUUAGCGGCGGACGGGUGAGUAACACGUGGAUAACCUACCUAUAAGACUGGGAUAACUUCGGGAAACCGGAGCUAAUACCGGAUAAUAUUUUGAACCGCAUGGUUCAAAAGUGAAAGACGGUCUUGCUGUCACUUAUAGAUGGAUCCGCGCUGCAUUAGCUAGUUGGUAAGGUAACGGCUUACCAAGGCAACGAUGCAUAGCCGACCUGAGAGGGUGAUCGGCCACACUGGAACUGAGACAGGGUCCAGACUCCUAAGGGAGGCAGCAGUAGGGAAUCUUCCGCAAUGGGCGAAAGCCUGACGGAGCAACGCCGCGUGAGUGAUGAAGGUCUUCGGAUCGUAAAACUCUGUUAUUAGGGAAGAACAUAUGUGUAAGUAACUGUGCACAUCUUGACGGUACCUAAUCAGAAAGCCACGGCUAACUACGUG